GACUGCAAAGAUGGCCUAAUGGUUAGAGUGCCAGCCUCGAAUGCAGGAGGUCGCGGGUUAGAAACCCGGCCGAGUCA